AUGCUGGAUUGUAUAGUAAACCAAGACAGAGAAGAGGAGCUGCAGUGCACAAGGCAACAGCAUCCUUCAAGGCUGUCUUCUCUUACUGCCUGCCCUAGCUUGAAGGAAGAAGAAGCUCCAAGCAGCUGUGGAGAAGAAACAGAAUUACCAUCCAGUGAGGUUUGGAUAGAUUACUCUAUUGAAAAUCAUGGGCCAGAUACAUUCUCAGCAACAAAGGCAAAUACAUCCACAAAGAUUGUUCAAACUCAGCUGCUCAGUCAGAGUUCUAAUCACAUCCAGCAGGUUCAGCCUUCUUCAUCUAGAACGCAUAAUUUCUGUCAAAUUUUAGAUACGGGAUCAAGCCUUUUUCUACUCAGUCCUCAAAAGAACACCAGCCAGGGUAAGCCUGUUUUGUAA
rnacentral:lncRNA from 1 species